GUUCCACUAUAUAUUUUCUCAGAUUACGCAAGCGCACGACCUGCGAUGCAUCGAGAUAGUAGCCAUACUGUAAAAUGUCAAUUACGAUUAGUAGCAGUCGUAUAGGGCCAAGGACUUUGGAUAAUAUUAACCAUGAUUAAAUGGGCUAUGAGUACUCUCACUAAGAGGGAGAGCCACCAAAUAUGUGUACAUGUUGGUUUGUUCAUCCAUGCAAAUAGAGCGACAAUUGGUAUACAUGGCACACUUUUAAUAAUCAUAUUUUGGUCUCGAAAAGAAUAUUACGAAACAAACGAGCAAAU